GGUCCAAUGGUCUAGAGGUAAGAUUCUCGCUUUGGGUGAACCAUGCGAGAGGUCCCGCGUUCGAACCGCGGUUGGAUCC